GAGGCAACUCUGACGCAGCCAUGCCGCGUGCAGGAAGAAGGCGCUAAGCGUUGUAAACUGCUUUUGAUCGGAAAGAAACCCCGGGACGUGUCCCGGGUUGACGGUACCGGUCGAAUAAGCACCGGCUAACUUCGUGCCAGCAGCCGCGGUAAUACGAAGGGUGCAAGCGUUAUCCGGAUUCAUUGGGUUUAAAGGGUGCGUAGGCGGAACGAUAAGUCGGCGGUGAAAGCCCGUAGCUUAACUACGGAAUUGCCGUUGAUACUGUCGUUCUUGAGUGCGCUUGACGUGGGCGGAAUGUGCCGUGUAGCGGUGAAAUGCUUAGAUAUGGCACAGAACACCGAUAGUGAAGACAGCUCACGAAGGCGAAACUGACGCUGAGGCACGAAAGCGUGGGGAUCAAACAGGAUUAGAUACCCUGGUAGUCCACGCCGUAAACGAUGAUCACUCGUGGUUGGCGAUAUACGGUCAGUCACCUAGCGAAAGCGUUAAGUGAUCCACCUGGGGAGUACGUUCGCAA
rnacentral:rRNA from 1 species